rnacentral:lncRNA from 1 species
CAAAUUUUUGCCAAAAUAAAACUUGUUCAGAAUUUUGAAUGCUACAAAACAUCUUUAAGGGUCCAAGACUGAUUUUAAAUGGAAAGGGACGAAAUUGAACCAAACAGUUUGAAAUUCAAAUCUCAAAUUGGGAAAAAUUCCAAUUUUAAAUUGGGGCAGAUUAGAAAUUUCAAAAUUACUUUUGAUUUUCCAAAACAACUUGAAAAACUCCCAACAUGAAAGUUGUUCAACUUUUUGAGCCCUACAACUUUCAUGUUGACCAUUUUUCAAAAUUCCAAAUAGAUU